AUACGUAGGGUGCGAGCGUUGUCCGGAAUUACUGGGCGUAAAGAGCUCGUAGGUGGUUUGUCGCGUCGUCUGUGAAAUUCCGGGGCUUAACUCCGGGCGUGCAGGCGAUACGGGCAUAACUUGAGUACUGUAGGGGAGACUGGAAUUCCUGGUGUAGCGGUGAAAUGCGCAGAUAUCAGGAGGAACACCGGUGGCGAAGGCGGGUCUCUGGGCAGUAACUGCAGCUGAGGAGCGAAAGCAUGGGUAGCGAACAGGAUUAGAUACCCUGGUAGUCCAUGCCGUAAACGGUGGGCGCUAGGUGUAGGGGUCUUCCACGACUUCUGUGCCGUAGCUAACGCAUUAAGCGCCCCGCCUGGGGAGUACGGCCGCAAGGCUAAAACUCAAAUGAAUUGACGGGG
rnacentral:rRNA from 1 species